rnacentral:rRNA from 1 species
GAAACUUAAGUUAAUUGGCGGCUUUUUAAAAAUAUUUAGAGGAAUUUAUUCUGUAGAGGAUUAUACACCAAAAUCUUACUUUUAAUUGUAUUAUACAGUUUGUAUACCUCUGUUUUAAUAUAUAUGGUUAUAUAUUGUCACAUUUUUAUGAAGGAUAUUUCAGGGAAAGGUGCAGCUUAUGUAAAAGGUUGAAAUAAAUUAUAUUAAUUUAUAUUUAACAGUUUUAUUAUUGUAAAAUAAUAAUUAAGAAAAAUUUAAUAGUAAAUUUUGUGUAUUAGGCAUAUUUGAAUAUUUUUUUAAAGUGUACAAAUUGCCCCGUCACUCUCUUAUUGAGAUAAG